GACCCAGGGAGUUAAUUUCCUAGAUGUCUAGAGUGGAACUAAGGAACCACUUAGAAGGUCUUGGAAUAUGCUACUUCUCAUUUGUUUGUUGUGUUCCAGUAUGCCUGAGCCAGCGAAGUCCGCUCCCGCCCCGAAGAAGGGCUCCAAGAAGGCGGUGACCAAGGCGCAGAAGAAGGACGGCAAGAAGCGCAAGCGCAGCCGCAAGGAGAGCUACUCCGUCUACGUGUACAAGGUGCUCAAGCAGGUGCACCCGGACACCGGCAUCUCGUCCAAGGCCAUGGGCAUCAUGAACUCGUUCGUGAACGACAUCUUUGAGCGCAUCGCGGGCGAGGCCUCGCGCCUGGCGCACUACAACAAACGCUCGACCAUCACCUCCCGGGAGAUCCAGACGGCUGUGCGCCUGCUGCUGCCCGGGGAGCUGGCCAAGCACGCUGUGUCGGAGGGCACCAAGGCGGUCACCAAGUACACCAGCUCCAAGGGCUAGAAGGAAGUUCUCUUUCUGAGAAUAGCCUGACCUUUACAAGAAACAGCCUGCCUGGGAAACAUCCUGCGACCAUCUAUCUUCCUGGAACAUCCUGCAGUUAUCUCGCCUUGUGCAGACAUCCUGCAGCUGGCAGUUUUACAACCUACAUCCAGCAACUGCCAAUAGGAGAGCUUCCCCAUCCCCAGCAUAUAAAUACCUC